ACCGUGAAAACAACCACACACCUCCUCCCGCAGCGGCUCUGUGACAGACUUAUCGUGAAGAUGAAAGCCCACAAGAGAGUAGGCUAUGCGGCGCUGGCAGACCGAUGGGGAGACUCGUCGUGAAGACGAACGUGCUAAGAGUACUUUUUUUAUACUAAAAGUAUACACUUUUUCAUCAUCUUGUACAUAUUAUUUUAAUGUAACUUGUUCACUUUUCCAGUAAAACUGUGCUAACUAGUAUUUUCCUCCCGCAGCGGCGCAAGCAGACCAGUGGGGAGACUCAUGAAGACGAAAAGCCAUACGACGGCGCAAGCAGUGCGGCUGGACCAUUGGAGACAGCCGGGAAGAGUCGUCACCAUAAAGAAGAACGUUUUAAAUGUUUUGAGACGAUAUGAAUUCUCUGAUUAUUGUUGUAUAAUGUCACAAAUUAAGUACUUUAACACUUAAAACUUUAAUUUUUAUA